rnacentral:rRNA from 1 species
CAGUCGCCGCGGGAAUACGGAGGGGGCUAGCGUUGUUCAGAAUUACUGGGCGUAAAGCGCACGUAGGCGGCUUGGUAAGUUAGAGGUGAAAGCCUGGAGCUCAACUCCAGAAUUGCCUUUAAGACUGCCGAGCUAGCAGGUGAGAGAGGUAAGUGGAAUUCCGAGUGUAGAGGUGAAGUUCGUAGAUAUUCGGAAGAACACCAGUGGCGAAGGCGGCUUACUGGCUCAUACUGGACGCUGAGGUGCGAAAGCGUGGGGAGCAAACAGGAUUAGAUACCCCCGUAGUCCCUGUCUCUUAUAC